rnacentral:rRNA from 1 species
GGCGGCGUGCUUAACACAUGCAAGUCGAGCGAGAAAGUCCUUCGGGAUGAGUACAGCGGCGAACGGGUGAGUAACGCGUGGGAAUCUACCCUUUAGUGAAGAAUACCUUCGAGAAAUCGAAGUUAAUACUGCAUACGUUCCUUCGGGAAGAAAGCUGGCCUCUUUGCUGGCGCUAAAGGUUGAGCCUACGUACUAUUAGUUAGUUGGUGAGGUAAUGGCUCACCAAGACGAUGAUGGUUAGCCGGCCUGAGAGGGCGUACGGCCACACUGGAACUUAGACACGGUCCAGACUCCUACGGGAGGCAGCAGUGGGGAAUAUUGCGCAAUGGGCGAAAGCCUGACGCAGCGACGCCGCGUGGAGGAUGAAGGUCUUCGGAUUGUAAACUUCUGUUAAGUGAGAGGAAAUACCCAUACUUAAUACGUAUGGGGGAUGACUGUAUCAUUAGAGAAAGCACCGGCUAAACUCGUGCCAGCAGCCGCGGUAAUACGA